GCCUGGCUAGCUCAGUCAGUAGAGCAUGGGACUCUUAUCCUAGGUCAUGGGUUCGAGCUCCAUGUUAGGCA
rnacentral:tRNA from 1 species